rnacentral:misc_RNA from 1 species
AAAUGCGAUAAGUAAUGUGAAUUGCAGAAUUCAGUGAAUCAUCGAAUCUUUGAACGCACCUUGCGCUCCUUGGUAUUCCUUGGAGCAUGCCUGUUUGAGUAUCAUGAAAUCUUCAAAGUAAAUCUUUUGUUAACUCAAUUGGUUUCUACUUUGGUAUUGGAGGUCUUUGCAGCUUCACACCUGCUCCUCUUUGUUCAUUAGCUGGAUCUCAGUGUUAUGCUUGGUUCCACUCGGCGUGAUAAGUUAUCUAUCGCUGAGGACACUGUAAAAGGUGGCCAAGGUAAAUGCAGAUGAACCGCUUCUAAUAGUCCAUUGACUUGGACAAUACUUUUAUGAUCUGAUCUCAAAUCAGGUAGGACUACCCGCUGAACUUACGC